CAGUCGCCACGGGAAUACGAAGGGUGCAAGCGUUAAUCGGAAUUACUGGGCGUAAAGCGUGCGUAGGCGGUGAGUUAAGUCUGCUGUGAAAUCCCCGGGCUCAACCUGGGAAUGGCAGUGGAUACUGGCUCGCUAGAGUGUGUCAGAGGAUGGUGGAAUUCCCGGUGUAGCGGUGAAAUGCGUAGAGAUCGGGAGGAACAUCAGUGGCGAAGGCGGCCAUCUGGGACAACACUGACGCUGAGGCACGAAAGCGUGGGGAGCAAACAGGAUUAGAUACCCGCGUAGUCCCUGUCUCUUAUCC
rnacentral:rRNA from 1 species